CUUCAAUCACAGAACACGCAAAAAUGAUGAGCGUCUCUAAGUUUAUUGUGCUUUGCGUGGUGUUAGGACUUUCUAGUUCCACGAGUGUACAAUUAGGUCCAAGACGAGAAGCGAGCGUAAACGACUCAAAAGUUCUGGAGAUGGCAAAGUUGUAUAUCAGUCAGACACAAAACUGGAAGCUUUCGGCGAUUACAAAGGCAGAAAUUUAGGGUCAAGAGGACGUUUUCCUCCGGUACUUCCUGACACUCGAGGUUGAAGUGGAUACUGAUGCCAUUGCUGCUUGCUCAGUGGUUGUAGAUGACGACAUCUUCUUCAAUUAUCGGCAUGUAGUGUCUCAUAGCUGCCACAUAUAGGACACAUUUAAUUGGUGCAAUAUUCGAUCUGACAAGUGACGGCGUGGCAUGCGUACAAAUAGAUUAGUAUCAUCUUGGUUACGGACAUUUUUAUUCCAAAUGGUUUAUAUAUGCAGGAAAAGUGCUUUAUAACGCUUACUAAGCUUAUUAAAAGAAAACUGUAAUAAGAUGUACAAUAUAUGGUGCAAACUAGACAAUUGCAUUACUUUUUUACGAAAAUAAUUGCAUAGUUGUAAUAAUAGAGUAAUCACAUAUUAAAAUUAAUGUGUCUUUGUCAUCGUAAUCUACAUUAGAAACAUCUACAUUAUGGUCUUGCCAACUAGUGUACUGCACAAGGUUCAUUUCGGAUGAGCAGAUACAAAUCUGAUACAAACCUGUUUCUUUCGCAUGAAGAACUUGUAUUCGUAUAGUCAAUAAUAAAAAAAUACUUCGGCA